rnacentral:rRNA from 1 species
CCUACGGGAGGCAGCAGUCGAGAAUCAUUCACAAUGGGGGAAACCCUGAUGGUGCGACGCCGCGUGGGGGAAUGAAGGUCUUCGGAUUGUAAACCCCUGUCAUGUGGGAGCAAAUUAAAAAGAUAGUACCACAAGAGGAAGAGACGGCUAACUCUGUGCCAGCAGCAGCGGUAAUACAGAGGUCUCAAGCGUUGUUCGGAAUCACUGGGCGUAAAGCGUGCGUAGGCUGUUUCGUAAGUCGUGUGUGAAAGGCGCGGGCUCAACCCGCGGACGGCACAUGAUACUGCGAGACUAGAGUAAGGGAGGGGGAACCGGAAUUCUCGGUGUAGCAGUGAAAUGCGUAGAUAUCGAGAGGAACACUCGUGGCGAAGGCGGGUUCCUGGACAUUAACUGACGCUGAGGCACGAAGGCCAGGGGAGCGAAAGGGAUUAGAUACCCCUGUAGUC